rnacentral:tRNA from 1 species
GCCCCAGUGGCUCAGUGGUUAAGCAUUCAGCUGCUAACCUAAAGGUUGGUGGUUCGAAACUAUCCAAUGGCU